rnacentral:rRNA from 1 species
GUGGGGAAUAUUGCACAAUGGGGGAAACCCUGAUGCAGCGACGCCGCGUGAAGGAUGAAGUAUUUCGGUAUGUAAACUUCUAUCAGCAGGGAAGAAAAUGACGGUACCUGACUAAGAAGCCCCGGCUAACUACGUGCCAGCAGCCGCGGUAAUACGUAGGGGGCAAGCGUUAUCCGGAUUUACUGGGUGUAAAGGGAGCGUAGACGGUUAUGUAAGUCUGAUGUGAAAACCCGGGGCUCAACCCCGGGACUGCAUUGGAAACUAUGUAACUAGAGUGUCGGAGAGGUAAGUGGAAUUCCUAGUGUAGCGGUGAAAUGCGUAGAUAUUAGGAGGAACACCAGUGGCGAAGGCGGCUUACUGGACGAUGACUGACGUUGAGGCUCGAAAGCGUGGGGAGCAAACAGGAUUAGAUACCCUGGUAGUCC